rnacentral:rRNA from 1 species
AUUGAACGCUGGCGGCAGGCUUAACACAUGCAAGUCGAACGAGUGGCGGACGGGUGAGUAAUGUCUGGGAAACUGCCUGAUGGAGGGGGAUAACUAAUGGAAACGUUAGCUAAUACCGCAUACCAUCGGAUCUGCCCAGAUGUGAUUAGCUAGUAGGUGGGGUAAAGGCUUACCAAGGCGACGAUCCGUAGCUGGUCUGAGAGGAUGAGCAGCCACACUGGGACUGAGACACGGUCCAGACUCCUACGGGAGGCAGCAGUGGGGAAUUUUGGACAAUGGGCGCAAGCCUGAUGCAGCCAUGCCGCGUGUAUGAAGAAGGCCUUCGGGUUGUAAAGGACUUUUAGUGGGGAGGCGGUACCCGCAGAAGAAGCACCGGCUAACUCCGUGCCAGCAGCCGCGGUAAUAC